rnacentral:rRNA from 1 species
GACGUAGGGCGCGAGCGUUGUCCGGAUUUAUUGGGCGUAAAGAGCUCGUAGGCGGUUCCGUAAGUCGGGUGUGAAAAAUCUGGGCUCAACCCAGUGGAGCACCCGAUACUGCGGUGACUCGAGUCCGGUAGGGGAGUGUGGAAUUCCUGGUGUAGCGGUGAAAUGCGCAGAUAUCAGGAGGAACACCGGUGGCGAAGGCGGUUCUCUGGGCAUUACCUGACGCUGAGGAGCGAAAGUGUGGGGAGCGAACAGG